rnacentral:rRNA from 1 species
AUUGAACGCUAGCGGGAUGCCUUACACAUGCAAGUCGAACGGAGUGGCGAACGGGUGAGUAAUGUAUCGGAACGUGCCCAGUAGUGGGGGAUAACGUCCGGAAAAGGGCGCUAAUACCGCAUACUAUCAGAUGAGACUAGGUCGGAUUAGCAAGUUGGGGGGGUAAAGGCCUACCAAGGCGACGAUCCGUAACUGGUCUGAGAGGAUGAUCAGUCACACUGGAACUGAGACACGGUCCAGACUCCUACGGGAGGCAGCAGUGGGGAAUAUUGGACAAUGGGCGAAAGCCUGAUCCAGCCAUGCCGCGUGUGUGAAGAAGGUCUUCGGAUUGUAAAGCACUUUAAGUUGGGAGGCGUUACCAACAGAAUAAGCACCGGCUAACUGCGUGCCAGCAGCCGCGGUAAUAC